GCCUCGGUAGCUCAGUCGGUAGAGCAGAGGACUGAAAAUCCUCGUGUCGACAGUUCGAUUCUGUCCUGAGGCA
rfam:Sporomusa sp. An4 isolate Sporomusa ovata strain An4 genome assembly, contig: SPAN4DRAFT_scaffold-10